rnacentral:rRNA from 1 species
GCCUAUGACCAUACCACCUGGAACACACCUGAUCUUAACUGAACUCAGAAGCUAAGCAGGGAUAGACCUGCUAGUACUUGGAUGGGAAAAUAUAUAGUAAACU